rnacentral:rRNA from 1 species
GCGGGGCGGCGUGCUAUACAUGCAAGUCGAACGAACUCUGGUAUUGAUUGGUGCUUGCAUCAUGAUUUACAUUUGAGUGAGUGGCGAACUGGUGAGUAACACGUGGGAAACCUGCCCAGAAGCGGGGGAUAACACCUGGAAACAGAUGCUAAUACCGCAUAACAACUUGGACCGCAUGGUCCGAGCUUGAAAGAUGGCUUCGGCUAUCACUUUUGGAUGGUCCCGCGGCGUAUUAGCUAGAUGGUGGGGUAACGGCUCACCAUGGCAAUGAUACGUAGCCGACCUGAGAGGGUAAUCGGCCACAUUGGGACUGAGACACGGCCCAAACUCCUACGGGAGGCAGCAGUAGGGAAUCUUCCACAAUGGACGAAAGUCUGAUGGAGCAACGCCGCGUGAGUGAAGAAGGGUUUCGGCUCGUAAAACUCUGUUGUUAAAGAAGAACAUAUCUGAGAGUAACUGUUCAGGUAUUGACGGUAUUUAACCAGAAAGCCACGGCUAACUACGUGCCAGCAGCCGCGGUAAUACGUAGGUGGCAAGCGUUGUCCGGAUUUAUUGGGCGUAAAGCGAGCGCAGGCGGUUUUUUAAGUCUGAUGUGAAAGCCUUCGGCUCAACCGAAGAAGUGCAUCGGAAACUGGGAAACUUGAGUGCAGAAGAGGACAGUGGAACUCCAUGUGUAGCGGUGAAAUGCGUAGAUAUAUGGAAGAACACCAGUGGCGAAGGCGGCUGUCUGGUCUGUAACUGACGCUGAGGCUCGAAAGUAUGGGUAGCAAACAGGAUUAGAUACCCUGGUAGUCCAUACCGUAAACGAUGAAUGCUAAGUGUUGGAGGGUUUCCGCCCUUCAGUGCUGCAGCUAACGCAUUAAGCAUUCCGCCUGGGGAGUACGGCCGCAAGGCUGAAACUCAAAGGAAUUGACGGGGGCCCGCACAAGCGGUGGAGCAUGUGGUUUAAUUCGAAGCUACGCGAAGAACCUUACCAGGUCUUGACAUACUAUGCAAAUCUAAGAGAUUAGACGUUCCCUUCGGGGACAUGGAUACAGGUGGUGCAUGGUUGUCGUCAGCUCGUGUCGUGAGAUGUUGGGUUAAGUCCCGCAACGAGCGCAACCCUUAUUAUCAGUUGCCAGCAUUAAGUUGGGCACUCUGGUGAGACUGCCGGUGACAAACCGGAGGAAGGUGGGGAUGACGUCAAAUCAUCAUGCCCCUUAUGACCUGGGCUACACACGUGCUACAAUGGAUGGUACAACGAGUUGCGAACUCGCGAGAGUAAGCUAAUCUCUUAAAGCCAUUCUCAGUUCGGAUUGUAGGCUGCAACUCGCCUACAUGAAGUCGGAAUCGCUAGUAAUCGCGGAUCAGCAUGCCGCGGUGAAUACGUUCCCGGGCCUUGUACACACCGCCCGUCACACCAUGAGAGUUUGUAACACCCAAAGUCGGUGGGGUAACCUUUUAGGAACCAGCCGCCUAAGGUGACAGGUUGG